rnacentral:misc_RNA from 1 species
ACAAUUGUAGUUCCUGUUUUCCUAAAGGAGGGAGGGUUAACUCCCUUCUUUGCCAGCAUAUCAUUUCUUCUACAGAGAUCGAAACUGAACCCACCCAUUGGAGGAACAUCUACCAGCGAUUUCGACAUUCUUUAGAAACUUGAAAUUGAAUUCUGAACCCACUGUAAUCGAAUCGAGAAGUAGCAGAGACUACUGAAUUAUUGAUCGAUUUCGAGGUUUAUUUUGGCUUUAGACAAGGUAACCUAGGAAAGAAGAAAAGAUUGUUUUUGCUAAAGUGGGUCUCGUUUACAAGGUAUUUG